rnacentral:rRNA from 1 species
GUCUGCAGCCAUGCCACCCUGAAUAAGACCGAUGUCUGAUCUCGGAAGCUAAGCUUGGUCAGGUCUGGUUAGUACUUGAAUGGGAGACCACCUAGGAAGUCCAGGUGCUGUAGGCA